rnacentral:rRNA from 1 species
UGCCAGACUCCUACGGGAGGCAGCAGUGAGGAAUAUUGGUCAAUGGCCGAGAGGCUGAACCAGCCAAGUCGCGUGAGGGAUGACGGCCCUACGGGUUGUAAACCUCUUUUGUCGGGGAGCAAAGAGAGUCACGUGUGGCUCAUUGAGAGUACCCGGAGAAAAAGCAUCGGCUAACUCCGUGCCAGCAGCCGCGGUAAUACGGAGGAUGCGAGCGUUAUCCGGAUUUAUUGGGUUUAAAGGGUGCGUAGGCGGGCUUUUAAGUCAGCGGUAAAAAUUCGGGGCUCAACCCCGUCCGGCCGUUGAAACUGGGGGCCUUGAGUGGGCGAGAAGAAGGCGGAAUGCGUGGUGUAGCGGUGAAAUGCAUAGAUAUUGCGCAGAACUCCGAUUGCGAAGGCAGCAUACCGGCGGCGAUCUGACGCUGAGGCACGAAAGCGUGGGUAUCGAACAGGAUUAGAUACCCGAGUAGU